rnacentral:rRNA from 1 species
GACGAACGCUGGCGGCGUGCUUAACACAUGCAAGUCGAGCGGUAAGGCUCCUUCGGGAGUACACGAGCGGCGAACGGGUGAGUAACACGUGAGCAAUCUGCCCUUCACUUCGGGAUAACUCCGGGAAACCGGUGCUAAUACCGAAUACGACCACUUCAGGCAUCUGAUGGUGGUGGAAAGUUCCGGCGGUGAAGGAUGAGCUCGCGGCCUAUCAGCUUGUUGGUGAGGUAANGGCCCACCAAGGCAACGACGGGUAGCCGGCCUGAGAGGGUGACCGGCCACACUGGGACUGAGACACGGCCCAGACUCCUACGGGAGGCAGCAGUGGGGAAUAUUGGACAAUGGGCGAAAGCCUGACGCAGCGACGCCGCGUGAGGGAUGACGGCCUGGUGUAACU